GUAGUAAUGUAAAAAACUUUAUAAAGCCUCAGUUUGCUUACUUGAAAUUUUUAUAUUGGCAUGUGUUAGAAGCAAAGAAGAAAGGCUGCAGUCCAUAAAAUGUCUAUUACAGCCAAACUUAUGUGGGAGAUUGAGGUCCGAUUCACUAAAAGUGGUAUGUGCGAAAGGAUGCCGGGUGUUGUGAGGAGUGCAGUGAUGUACAAGACUCAGCACAAGCUGAUAGCAAAAUAAUCAGGAAAACAUGGACUGACAGAAGUCAGCUCAGAAAUCAGAGUUCUGAAAACAAGUAAAUUCCAAACUGGAGUGGAGAGAGAGCACUACAAUUAGAAAAUUUCUG
rnacentral:lncRNA from 1 species